rnacentral:rRNA from 1 species
UUGACCUCAAAUCAGGUAGGACUACCCGCUGAACUUAAGCAUAUCAAUAAGCGGAGGAAAAGAAACUAACAAGGAUUCCCCUAGUAACUGCGAGUGAAGCGGGAAAAGCUCAAAUUUUGAAUCUGGCGGUCUUUGCAGACCGUCCGAGUUGUAAUCUAGAGAAGCGUCUUCCGCGCCGGCCCGUGUACAAGUCUCCUGGAAGGGAGCGUCUUAGAGGGUGAGAAUCCCGUCUCUGACAUGGACCACCGGGGCUAUGUGAUGCGCUCUCGACGAGUCGAGUUGUUUGGGAAUGCAGCUCAAAAAGGGUGGUAAACUCCAU